CCUACGGGAGGCAGCAGUGGGGAAUAUUACACAAUGGGGGAAACCCUGAUGCAGCGACGCCGCGUGAGUGAAGAAGUAUCUCGGUAUUUAAAGCUCUAUCAGCAGGGGAGAAAAUGACGGUACGUGUUUAAGAAGCCCCGGCUAACUACGUUCCAGCAGCCGCGGUAAUACGUAGGGGGCAAGCGUUAUCCGGAUUUACUGGGUGUAAAGGGAGCGUAGACGGCAGCACAAGUCUGGAGUGAAAUGCCGGGGCUUAACCCCGGAACUGCUUUUGAAACUGUGCAGCUAGAGUGCAGGCGAGGUAAGUGGAAUUCCUAGUGUAGCGGUGAAAUGCGUAGAUAUUAGGAGGAACACCAGUGGCGAAGGCGGCUUACUGGACUGUAACUGACGUUGAGGCUCGAAAGCGUGGGGAGCAAACAGGAUUAGAUACCCGUGUAGUC
rnacentral:rRNA from 1 species